rnacentral:rRNA from 1 species
GACGAACGCUGGCGGCGUGCUUAACACAUGCAAGUCGAACGAAGUGGCGAACGGGUGAGUAACGCAUAAUCAACCUGCCCUUCAGGGGGGGCAAACAGUUGGAAACGACUGCUAAUACCGCAUACUGAAGGAGGGGUUGGCGUCUGAUUUGCUAGUUGGGGGGGGAACGGCCCACCAAGGCGAUGAUCAGUAGCCGGUCUGAGAGGAUGAACGGCCACAAUGGGACUGGGACACGGGCCAGACCCCUACGGGGGGCAGCAGUGGGGAAUCUUCCGACAUGGACGAAAGUCUGACGGAGCAACGCCGGGUGGGUUAUGACGGCCUUCGGGUUGGAAAGCUACGUUAAUCGGGACGCGGUACCGGAAUAGAAAGCCACGGCUAACUACGUGCCAGCAGCCGCGGUAAUAC